rnacentral:rRNA from 1 species
GACAGAGGAGCCAAGCGUUGUCCGGAUUGACUGGGCGUAAAGCGCACGCAGGCGGCUGGGCGCGGGGGGUGUGAAACCUGGCCGCUUAACGGCCAGCGGCCAUCCCAUACGGCGCGCCUGGAGCCUUGCAGAGGGCGGUGGAAUUGCCGGUGUAGUGGUGAAAUGCGUAGAGAUCGGCAGGAACACCCAAGGAGAAAUCAGCCGCCUGGGCAAGUGCUGACGCUGAGGUGCGAAAGCGUGGGGAGCGAACCGG